CCUACGGGUGGCUGCAGUCGAGAAUCAUUCACAAUGGGGGAAACCCUGAUGGUGCGACGCCGCGUGGGGGAAUGAAGGUCUUCGGAUUGUAAACCCCUGUCAUGUGGGAGCAAAUUAAAAAGAUAGUACCACAAGAGGAAGAGACGGCUAACUCUGUGCCAGCAGCCGCGGUAAUACAGAGGUCUCAAGCGUUGUUCGGAAUCACUGGGCGUAAAGCGUGCGUAGGCUGUUUCGUAAGUCGUGUGUGAAAGGCGCGGGCUCAACCCGCGGACGGCACAUGAUACUGCGAGACUAGAGUAAGGGAGGGGGAACCGGAAGUCUCGGUGUAGCAGUGAAAUGCGUAGAUAUCGAGAGGAACACUCGUGGCGAAGGCGGGUUCCUGGACAGUAACUGACGCUGAGGCACGAAGGCCAGGGGAGCGAAAGGGAUUAGAUACCCGUGUAGUC
rnacentral:rRNA from 1 species